CAGGAGAGAUUCCCCCCAGUACCCAACUGUGUGUAGCUCUGCCUCAGCAGUUCCAAUGAGGCUUUGAGAGCUACAGUAACUGGUCGGCCGGGUGAUGUGCUGUUUCCUCCUGACUCCCACAGCAUGCAGCCAUGGGCAGAAGUGCCUGAAUACCCCACCCUCGUACCUUGCAGCCACAGCAGGACGGAUUCCUCCCAGUACCCAGCCGCAUGGAGGUCCGCCUCAGCAGUUCUGAUGGGGCUUUGAGAGCUACAGUAGCUGGUCAGCCGGGUGAUGUGCUGUUUCUUCCCGACUUCUACAGACUGCUGUUUUUUUAAUUAUGGGUUGCGAUGGCAACGGAUGGGUGGUGAUGUCAUCUGGUGGGCGUCAGUCUUCCGCUUCCGGACACCGCCGACAUACCUGCGGUGACGGGUUAUAAUAGCUAUCAACCCUUCUACACUAGUGGAAAAGAAAAUUUAUGAGUAUCAAAUAACACAGCUGAGAGCGGAAAGAAAAUGUUGUCUAAUGGAGUGAUCUAUGCUGGGAAUUACCAACAGACAGGGAAAAAUGUCAGAAAUAAUUGUGCAGGUGGGGAAAUCCAAUACUCAGUGACAGCAAAAUGAGUAGAUUGAUUAAAAAAUGUCAAGAAAUCAAGAUGACCCAAAUUUUGUGUGAAAUUUGGUAUUUAUGGAAAAAAAAAUUCAAACUCAGCAUCUAAUACAUUUCUGUAUUGGUCUUCAAUAAAUGUAGAUGUU